AGCGUGAAGUUAGAAUCACUGAAGAAGAUUCUAACUUAACAACAACGGAUACUUUGAAGGCACCAGCAAAAAAAUCGUUUUGGACUGGCAGUUACCUUCUGUUGGCAAUCGAGCAAGACAGUUUCUUCGUAAUAACGUAUUGCUCAAAGCAGGGUGGAAAUAGAAUUUCCUCCAUCGGGUUUCGAAACCUGAGUCCUGAUGAAGCGACAUUGGAAAAAGCGUUUAAAGCCUUCAACGAAACGGGCCUAGAUGCCAGUCAGCUUGUGAAAUGGAGUGCGGACCAUUGCUAACACUGGGAGCGUACGAACACAAUUGAAAUAUUUGUACUGCACAUUCUUUUUUGGUGUAGGGUGUAAGGGGUAAUAUCUUCUGUUGAAAUCAUUGUUCGAAAGGCAGAUUUUUACAGAUAUAAAACUUUUGUAUAAAUAUA